GUAAACUCUUUGGAAUAUUGUGAGACAUGUUUUUGAUUGUGUCACUAAUAUUUUAAUUUGUGGUGUGAUACAAAUAGAAAUUGUUUAGACGGUGUUAUACUGAAAAAUGUGACAAAGAAUAAAAUUCAAGAAUAAUAAAGGUACUAGAAAUUCAAUUGCUUGCAAUGUGGAUGGACUGGCCACGGUGGUCUUGGGAAAUAUGAACUACUAGCAUUAUUUUACAUGUGAAGCUAAUUUCUGCAGAAAAGACUCUUAAGUUAUAUGAAGUCUUUUUCAUACAUUUCUCAGAAUGUUUACAUUGCUCAGCUGAAAGCAUAAUAUCCAAAGGCACAACUAUAUCAAGUGCACUGAUUGGCAAGAUGUCAAAACAACAGCUCCAUUCAAAAAUUGUUCAAAGGGCGUAUCAGACGAGGAAAUUCACGAACUACUCAAAGAAAGUGAUGAAGGCUAUCCAGAUUUUUGAGAAUAGGAGGAAAGUGAAGUGGAUCUGAAUGAUGUAAACAAUGAAUAUGAGGGCCACAGUACUGAAUGUGAACUUGAAGGUGAGGAUGGUGAUGAACUCAGUAGAGAUGGCAGAUAUGCAGGAGUUCUUUAUUGGAAAAGAAAUAGUUCUGCAUGGGUGUAUAUUAAAGUGAACGUGCUAAAACGUCAAAAAGCAAUAGAAAGUACAGUGCCCAAAUUCUACAAGAUCCAAAGAGAAAUGUGAUGCAUAUACCUGAUAAGUUAGUGAUUUUUUGAAAACAAUUGAGCUUGACAUUAUUGAUGAAAUCAUAAAUUAUACAAAUACAUAUACAGUGAGAGACAUCUAUUCUCAUGCAAACGAGAUAAUAAACAUCACAUCGAGGCACACAAUAAUGGCUGUGU